UGAACUCUUGCACCAAAUGGCCACACAAUCUCACUUUGCCUCAGGAACACCAGGUACUUACAGGAAAAAAGAUAUUUUUCUUUUGCUGAAAUAGAUACUUAAAAAAUAUAUUCUGAAAUAAGUGAGAAGAAAGGACACCCAGUGCAAGGAAAUGCCCACAUUGAGAAUGUAGAUUCAGUUCCUGCUUUGUCCCUGUAAAGCCUGAAGUCCUUGUGCUGCUGUUUGUGAAUGCUAUAAAAGAGAAGAUUACCAAGUUGGAGGGUCAGAUGAGUAGAAAAUUACGAGCUGCUGGUCCGUGUGCUCAGCCUUCGCCUGCGAUUGCAUCUGCUGCAGAGAAGGAUGCUGCAGAAGGGUUUCCAUCGGGAUAUCAGUGGGGGAAUGAAGGAUGGAGCCCCUUGGUGCUGCACAUCCCUCAGCAGGAGGGACCUCCCCGAGCACAGAGCUCCCCCAGACACGGCUGCAGAGGAUGGAGGAGCUGGGGGCACCUUCAGGCUGCACUCUUCACCCGGUAAAACCACUGAGGGUGAUUUUUUGGGACCCUGCUGGGUGUUAGUGUGGCAGGAAAACGCUUUUGAUGGCUAAACAGAUUGUGUGGUGAGGCUGGGGCUUGAUCUGACUCUCAAACAGCACAAAACAGGCUGUGGCUUUCCUUAGAGCACUAAAGACUGGAAGGGUUAAGAGUGAAUGAUGUGCUUUUAAAGGGAUGUUAACUCGAGAUAAUGUAACUUCAUUGAGAAUACCUGGAAUAUCUUUAAAUAGAUUUUGUGCU